AUGAUGGAUCACACUCGUCUUCGCCGUGAUGUCCGUCGGCCUCGCUACCUCGAUGACUUCCUGGUGAAUCUCCCGCCACGUGAUCUUCCCUCUUCUACACUCCAUGGCCACUCCACUGAGGGAGCAGCUAUCCAACCUCCUGCUCCAGUUAGACCCACUCCUCAGAACCUCAGCUCCGAAGCAGUCAUGUCAGCUCUGCAGGAGAUGAAAGAGGAGAACAUCCAACUCAGGCGAGAUAUGCAAAGUCUUUUCCAUUCUCUCUCCCUGGGAUCAGCGCCUCAGCCUCAACAUCUCGAUCCAAGACAUUCGACUCAGUAUGAGGACAGAGCCACCUUAUAUGGACCUUAUCGUCCUCCAGAAAAAAUAUCUACUCCUAACUACAAUCUUCAAGCACCAGUGGAUGACCCUCCACCCUGGCCUGAAACAAUACCAAUACCUCCUUGGAGCGAGCCUCUACCUCCUCCACCUCCAGCUGACCUGCCUCUACCUCCUCCACCUCCAGCUGACCUGCCGCUACCUCGGCCACCGCCUCCGGUGUCAUAUCUACCUUCAUAUGAGGCUGAGUCUCAAUCCGCUCCAUCGUAUGUAGAGCCUUAUACUCUUCCCCUCAAUCCACCCUCGGUGGAGAUGACAUACAGAGGGCCAAAGCCUAACAUUCCAUGUUUCACAGAUGAAGAUCCACGUCAGUUUGCCCGCCUCAAGAUAGCGCUCAACAACAUCUUGCCCAGAGAUGCAACUGAGUGGUUCAAAUACCAAAUACUAGUUGAUCACCUCAAAUCAGAAGAUUCUCUCCUCAUUGCAGACUCUUAUAGUAAUAGUCCAACUCCCUAUUCGAAGACAAUGGCCUCACUUACUGAAAUGUAUGGACAACCUCACAAACUAGCACUGCAGCGCAUCAAUGAGGUUCUGGCUGAGCCUCCAAUCAGAAGUGGGGACAGUCGAAGUUUUCGUCUCUUCGGCCUCAAAGUCAGAGCUCUGGUCGGAAUGUUAGAUCAACUGGGCAAGGAAGGCAAGACUGAAUUGGAUUGCGGGUCACACACCUCACGACUUCUGUCCAAGUUGCCGCAUGAACUCAGAGCACAGUUCAAGCGCUACAUAAACCCUCUUUGCACUCCGAUACCAACCUUGGUG
rnacentral:lncRNA from 1 species